AUUGAACGCUGGCGGCAUGCCUUACACAUGCAAGUCGAACGGCAGCACGGGGCAACCUGGUGGCGAGUGGCGAACAGGUGAGUAAUGCAUCGGAACGUACCUUUCGGUGGGGGAUAACGUAGCGAAAGUUACGCUAAUACCGCAUAUUCUGUGAGCAGGAAAGCAGGGGAUCGCAAGACCUUGCGCUGAUUGAGCGGCCGAUGUCAGAUUAGCUAGUUGGUGAGGUAAAGGCUCACCAAGGCGACGAUCUGUAGCGGGUCUGAGAGGAUGAUCCGCCACACUGGAACUGAGACACGGUCCAGACUCCUACGGGAGGCAGCAGUGGGGAAUUUUGGACAAUGGGGGCAACCCUGAUCCAGCCAUGCCGCGUGAGUGAAGAAGGCCUUCGGGUUGUAAAGCUCUUUCGGCCGGGAAGAAAUCGCACGGGCUAAUACCCUGUGUGGAUGACGGUACCGGAAUAAGAAGCACCGGCUAACUACGUGCCAGCCGCCGCAGUAACAC
rnacentral:rRNA from 1 species